UACGAGGGGGGCGAGCGUUGUUCGGAUUUAUUGGGCGUAAAGGGCGCGCAGGCGGCCGGAUAAGUCUUGUGUGAAAUCUUCGGGCUCAACUCGAAGUCUGCACAGGAAACUAUCUGGCUUGAGUGUGGGAGAGGUGAGUGGAAUUCCUGGUGUAGCGGUGAAAUGCGUAGAUAUCAGGAGGAACACCUGUGGCGAAAGCGGCUCACUGGACCACAACUGACGCUGAGGCGCGAAAGCUAGGGGAGCAAACAGG
rnacentral:rRNA from 1 species